AGGUUGCAUUAAUUUGAACGGCGCAUGGGAAGGAGCUCACAUCAGCACAAAACUGAAGCACUGAAGCCAGCUGACGGUGUUGGAAUUAAUUGGGCCAGGAGGCCGCGGGUCCCCUGGCUUCUGUGGCCGGUCUUUGUGGAUUUUUCUCUUGCUUCUCUCCCAGCAAGUGCUGGGGCUGGGGGGGGGNNNNNNNNNNNNNNNNNGAUUUCUUACACAAGUACUAUAUUUACAACCUCUCUUCCCCCCCCCCCAGACUCCUCCCAUGUGACUCUCACCCCCUCCCAUGUGACCCCUCCCUCUUUAAUCUACAUAUGCAAAUGUAAGUGCCGCCUGCUGCGUUCCUUUCUGGACAGUGCCUCUCUCACCAAACUGCCUUCUGCUGGGACUCUGGGACGGUUCACCAGCUCAAGAUUAUCACACUGAGGACCGAACUUACUUAGGGGGACACACUCAAUCCCUAGCAGCCAGCCUGUCCUCAUCUUCUCCUUCUGACAGCAUUAAGAAGCAGCAACUUGGCUAGGAAACUGAGCUAUGGUUCAAUCUGGUUCAUACUCCAAGCCUUUAGAAGCCACGCUGUCUUGGUGUUUGUGUUUUCUCAAGGUUUUUCUGUUUCCAUGGAGCGAUCCUCCUGCUGUAGUCUCCCAAGUCAUGGGAUUUCAUGCUUACACCACCUAGCUCGGGAAUAUGGAAUUCCUAAGAACUCUAAUUCCUUCCAUAACAGUAUUCAGUUUUGCUUCUUAUUGUCAACGGUAGCCAUUUUUGCAGAGUUCUGGAUUCUUUUUUUGUUAGCAUCAAGGUAAUUUCAGAGCAAUGACUCUUGUAAAUUUAGAGUAUUUACCCAGAAAAAAUGGGGGUUGGGAGGACAAUCUAAUAAAUCAAACCACUUACUAAAACUAGAAUUAGAUAAAAAAAAUGUUAAUUUAAAACUGAAAAAGAAAUGCCCAAAGCUAAGUCUGCCUCCCUUGUCAAGGCCGCCUCUGAGCCCGUCCCCACCAAAGGCUUGGAGUAUAGACUCCACAAACAUUUUUCCAGGGAUCAGCCCAUGCCACCCACGGCUAGCCACAUGGCUCGCCUCCUCUAUUUGAAAAAUAAAAACAAACCGCCUUCAA
rnacentral:lncRNA from 1 species